UUGGAUGUUAAUUCGUUAUUUUUGGAUACACUUAUUUAAAAGUGAUUCUUAUGGGUUGAUGUUGUUUGGAUAG
rnacentral:pre_miRNA from 1 species